GACGAACGCUGGCGGCGUGCUUAACACAUGCCAGUCGAACGAAGAGCGAUGGAUGCUUGCUUCUAUCAAUCUUAGUGGCGAACGGGAGAGUAACGCGUAUUCCCCCUGCCCUUCAGUGGGGUACAACAGUUGGAACCGACUGCUCAUGCCGCAUACGAUCUAACCCGGGCAUCCAGGAUACCUCAAACGUCGCCUUUAUCUAUUAUCUGUCACUGUAGUUGGCGAUUGCGACUGAUUAGCUAGCUGGGGGGGUAACGGCCCAACAAGGCGAUAUUCAGUAGCCGGUCUGAGAGGAAGAACGGGCACAAUGGGAAUGGGACACGGCCCAGACUCCUACGGGGAGCAGCAGGUGGGGAUCUUCCGAAAUGGAGGGAAGGCUGAAGGAGGAACGGCGGGUGAGGGAUGACGGCCUUCGGGUUGUAAAGCUCCGUUAAUCGGGACGGAAGGCCUUCUUGCGAAUAGUUAGAAGGAUUGACGGUACCGGAAGAGAAAGCCACGGCUAACUACGUG
rnacentral:rRNA from 1 species